rnacentral:rRNA from 1 species
GAUGAACGCUGGCGGCGUGCCUAAUACAUGCAAGUCGAACGAACGGACGAGAAGCUUGUUUCUCUGAUGUUAGCGGCGGACGGGUGAGUAACACGUGGAUAACCUACCUAUAAGACUGGGAGAACAACGGGAAACAGGAGCUAAUAAUGCAGAAUAUUUUGUACCGGUUGGUUCAAAAGUGAAAGACGGCUUUUCUGUCACUUAUAGAUGGUUCCGCGCUGCAUUAGCUAGUUGGUAAGGUAACGGCUUACCAAGGCAACGAUGCAUAGCCGACCUGAGAGGAUGAUCGGCCACACUGGAACUGAGACACGGUCCAGACUCCUACGGGAGGCAGCAGUAGGGAAUCUUCGGCAAUGGGCGCAAGCCUGACGGAGCAACGCCGCGUGAGUGAUGAAGGUCUUCGGAUCGUAAAACUCUUUUAUUGGGGAAGAACAUAUGUGUAAUUAACUGUGCACAUCUUGACGGUACCUAAUCAGAAAGCCCCGGCUAACUACGUG